GAUAGAGUACAAUGUACGCUUACCAAUGGAAGAUCCUAAAUUUUCCUACAUCAGAAAAAGAAAACCUAUGGAACUUCUGUGAAAUACGCUAGUACACGUUUUGACUAGAAUUCUUUUAGCAGGAAUAUAAGCGCUUAAAAAAGGAUUUACGCCUUUGAGUAGCAUUCAAGCUAUUACAAUUAAAUAGAUUUAAAUAGGGGCUACACUCUUUAGUUUUCUAAAAUCCAAUUGUUUAAGUCUAGCAGACACUCCAGAAAGCUAACAUAAUUCAUUUACGACCCUUGAUAACAAUGUACAAGAAGCUCUGACUAAAAUUUUUCAAAGUGAAAUGCUAAAGUACGAUGUUGUUUGUUACGCUAUCUGUUCUAUGUUUUACAUGGAAACAAUAAAUGGAUUAAUUCUUGCACAUUUACUAGUGGACAAUAAAUGGUUCAGAUUCAACAUUACUAUAUCACACUUGUAUUGCUCGGCAACCUUCAAUAACUUCUAUUUAAAAAUAACUAGCAAGAUCUAAACUGGCUCUAGAGUAUUCUCGAAGAUAACACUUUGUGGAUUCCGUUUUGAGUCCAGACGUUCUGUUAACAACAUAUCCAUACGUAAAUUGUUAAGUUAUUUGUUGGCGAAGACGAGUACUAUAAACGAAUUUUGAGAAGCUUGGUAUAAGUAAAUGUUAGACUGUCGAAGUAAUACGCCCUAUAUGUGUUCAUGCCAAAAGAAAUCAAUAAUAUAGUUGACAAUUUGAAAUGCAGUGUAUAAUUUAAGGCAGUAAGAGACGAAAGUAAAGAGGGAAAAGGAAAAUCAUGUACUGUUAUCACUUUAUUCUUCGUUGAUUUUCUUCUUCUUUAUAAUCCCACUAUAUUUGGUGGAUUCAUAAACUCGGUUGGUCCAUGUUUAUUUUAAUUGAUUUUCGUUAGCUAUCUUAAAAGAAAUUGGGCGGAAGAUGCAUCAUAAUGUUUAAACCAGUUUAGUCUGAUCAGACACUAGUAAAAACGAGAAAACAAUACUUAUCUACCAAUGAGUUUUCAGGCAUCUAUAAAUAUCGUUCUAAUAAAAAUCGAAAAAACAAUCACAACUAACAAGAAAAUCUUUUAAGAAUUCUCAAUCUUUAUAACAGUCAAUUUUCUUAAAUCUAAGCUAAUGCUCGCGAAAUUCUUUGGUAGCUCUGAGUUAAUAAAUCAGAAAGACAAAACAAAUCAUUCAGGUUGAGUACAUUUAU